ACACGUAGGGCCUAAAGUGUGCGUUUAUUCUCCAGACCCUCUUUACAGAUCGCACUUUAAACAGCGUGAUCUGCGAAUAAACAAAGGCAGUAAACAAUAGAGUGGAGGCUAUGCCCACAUAUAGGAAGAGUACACACGCAAACCAAAUUGCACAAGUGUAAACUUUGAAUAGGACGCCGCAGCUCUGUCAAUUUACACAGACAUUAAAUUUCGUUCUAUUCAUUUUAGACAUAUAAUGCUAAGCUGAUUUUUUUAUGGCACACUGAUCGAUAUCUCUGUAAAAUAAUCAUUUUUUUUAACUAGCGGGGCAGUGAAAUCUUUGCUUUGUGCUAAAGUCAACAGUGACAGAGUUUGAGCUCAAAUAAAUGCCGUGAUGUCUGGAGCCCUUUGCAGAAGGCAGAAGGCGAGCUUCUACAAUGGGCUCCUGUGUGACUUGCCAACAACAAGCCCCGGCUAUUUUGCACAGGGCUCUGCUGACUGAAGUGAUCCCCACGGCCCGAGUGGAAGAGAGGAGGGAGAGGAAGCCUCAGAGGGAGAGCUGCUGAAGAGCUACACUGAUGCACACACACACACACACACACACUCAAACACUCACACAAUGUCCCUCUCAGUCCUGGGUUGUGACCGGCCCAUGGCAUUGGCCAGAUGCACAUGGCUUCAUUGGAAGGACACAUUUCCAUUGCUGCUUACCGUCUACUUUCAUCAUCCUGCAUCAAGAGACCUGAAAGCACUUCCCUGUCGAUGUACUUGGCUAUAUCUACGUCUGACCUGUCUGCCAUAUGUAAUAUCAAAGCCUCUGUCAGCACGGAGCUGAAUGGGAACAAAAGAGAGGCCUCCAUUAAUGAUUAACUGUUCUAAAAGCCCCGGCUUUUGUAUUCCCAUGGUGCCCAGGCUAUCUGGCCACCAUGUGACAUGCUCGCAGCAUUUUUCGAGCAGAUUGGGGGAAAGCUAGUGAGCAAACACAGGUGCUUUGGAGCAGCGUUGCCGACGCUGUCAGGGACAACCACAAACAAGAGCAGCUAUGCUUGGCUAAAUGAAUCCCCACCCCUCCCAACAAUACCCCCCAACGUCGCUAGCUAACUCGUUUGCUAGCUCCCUAUAGCUUUCUUCCCGCAAAGCCUUCCUUCUGGAGAGUCCCCACGUUCCCCCCCACGAGUCCAAUGUCCGCUACAGCCGCGCUCCACAACUUCUCACACCCUCCAAGGAAACAAACAAAUAAAAGUGAGGACUGCCGACCACUUCUUUGAGGUGAUGGCAUUUGCUGUGGUCAUGACUAGUGGGAGAGCAAACAAAUUAAUGGUGUUCGAGUUUUCACUUUCCAAACCAAACUAAAUGUCUUUUAGUUCAAGUGGGGCAAUUCCACUGACCCUGGUGUCAAAUGCUGUAUAAGGGUUGCACACUCUUGCACUUGAAAUGCAGAGAGGAGGCUGUAAGAAAUUAAACAAGGCUUGAGUAUUGGCCUGCGUGAACAUGUGUGUUGAAACAAAAUGGCAUGUGACAAAUAAAGCUUGAAUAAAUUGUGUGUGUAAUAAACACUCAUGGUUUAUUUUUGCUUUCUAUGUAUUUUGACCACAAACGUUUACAAGAGUUGUCCGGAGCACUUAACCUUUUCAUCCAGUCUGACUGAAUGUUCAGAGUGACUGGGUGUGCUGUGUCGCUCAACUUUGAUAAGACAAUCAGAUGAUAGGAUGGCGUUAUCUUAACAUGGCUUUCCGGCUGUGGGACAAAUGAACAGUGUGUGAUAACAGGAACAAAAGCUUGGCUCUUACCGACUGGCUCCUCCGAAGAAAGGAAAAAUGAUCAGGAUGGAAAACACUUUAUUUCAUUUUCAAUUUUCUACUCAGCCCAGGUCACAGGAACAGCUUUUUUCUAAUCUCUCAAAUAUUUGUAUUGUCUGUUGCUGGCGUUUUGGGUUCACAGUCUGCAAUUACCUGUGCCUAUAAAGCAGUUAUUAUCACUGGAAAGAUGAUAAAUAUAUUUUAAAACAAACAAUUUUAAUCAAAAGGACAGGAAUGGAAGUUGUAAAAGUGAGAGAGACAGAUGCAGGAAAAGAGAGGCCGAGUGAGUAAAAAUAUACACUGUAGACAUAUAUAUAUAUAUAUAUAUAUAUACAGAAAUUGAAGAAUCGAAAAAGGUGUGUGUGAGAGAGAAAGAGAUGGAAAGACAGAGAAAGAAGAAGGUCAAAAGUUGUUUCUUCAGAGACCUGCAACUGAUCAGUAAAACGUCGCUUCUGUCUGGGUUUUCUGACUUUUACAGCCCAAUUCUCAGAGUCAGAGCGAGCUUUGUAUACUCAGGGAUUCACUCAGGGCUUUGUUUGCUCUAUUGCCAAAAAAUGAUUGGAAAAAAUAUUGGUGCCCUGGCACGAAAUGUUAGAACUUUCUUAGAAAUAAAAAAAUCCUUGCAACUGUGUAGAAAUCGCAUGAAUAAAAUAUUUCUUUUAAAGA